rnacentral:rRNA from 1 species
CUCCAGACUCCUACGGGAGGCAGCAGUGGGGAAUAUUGCACAAUGGGGGGAACCCUGAUGCAGCGACGCCGCGUGGGUGAAGGAGCACCUCGGUGCGUAAAGCCCUAUCGGCAGGGAAGAAACAGACGGUACCUGACUAAGAAGCCCCGGCUAACUACGUGCCAGCAGCCGCGGGAAUACGUAGGGGGCAAGCGUUAUCCGGGUUCACUGGGUGUAAAGGGAGCGUAGACGGCCAUGCAAGCCAGGGGUGAAAGCGCGGGGGCCAACCCCGGGACUGCCCUUGGAACUGCGUGGCUGGAGUGCGGGAGGGGCAGGCGGAAUUCCUGGUGUAGCGGUGAAAUGCGUAGAUAUCAGGAGGAACACCGGCGGCGAAGGCGGCCUGCUG